ensembl:lncRNA
AUGUGGUCUGUAAAGCACCCCGUGCCCAUCAGAGUCUCCCCUGAAUCCCACAGCUGGAGCGCUGACACAGGGCGUCAUUUGAGACUCACUUGCAUGCAGCAAGACAGGCACCUUGGACCCUCUCCCGUGGAAGCUUGCUCUUGGCCUCUUUGCUGGGCACCUUGGGGUCUCCAGAUCUCCACAUUGUUUUCCAUUUCUCUGCAGAACCUAGAGAAGACUCGCCUCACUGGCCUUCCAUCUGUUGGCUGCCGAGGCCAAGAGCCCUUUGUAUGUCUGAAUAACUGGCCAAGGACCGGACGGCACAUUGUGCCAAGACCGGCGACGGGCCGGCUUGAGCUGGGCGGCCUCUGCUGGAAUCCCUCGACACUUUACAUUUGGCGAGCGUGGUCCGCGGGCUCCGGGCACUCAGAGGCCGAGGUGUUCACAGAACUCACAGCUGGUCCUCAGAGGGGGACGGACAGGAACAGGUGCACGGACCCACAGGUAACCUGGGGCAAUGAGCAGUGUGUGAAUGAAGUAAACAGGCCAGCCCAGUAGGCAGGAUGGGGUCUCCUGCGGGGCAGAGGCCGGAGGGGCCCUGCUGGGGUGACCUGGUGUCAGACACACUGUGCCCUGAGAGGGGGCUGGGGGAGAGGCAGGGCAGCUUCCCACAGGGCAGUGGACGUGAGGAGGGGUUUGGACUCUGUUCUAAGCACCAGGGCAGUAUGCCGGGCUGUGACACAAAGGGGCCUGGCACCUAGGGAAAGGGCACUCUGGCCACUGCAGAGCAGCAGGAGUCUGGGGAGGUGGGUAGGGUGACCACGACCUGCCCCAGGGGGACCUGUGGAUGUGCGGCCUCACGUGGCAAAAGAAGCUCUGCAGGUGGGAUAAAGUGAGGCCCUUGAGGUGAGACAUGGCCCCGGAUCAUCUGAGGGUCCCGAUCUCAUCACGUGGAUCUUUAUCAGGGAGAUGGGAGGUCAGAGGAGGAGAGGCGACAACAGAAGCAGAGGUCAGACAUGGGGCCUCCCCUCGAGGAGAGGGGCCUUCCUUAACCCUCCAGCUUUUGGUGGCCAGCAGGCCUUGGCGUCUGGGCUUCUAACUGCACCUUUCCAACCUCUNNNNNNNNNNNNNNNNNNNNNNNNNNNNNNNNNNNNNNNNNNNNNNNNNNNNNNNNNNNNNNNNNNNNNNNNNNNNNNNNNNNNNNNNNNNNNNNNNNNNNNNNNNNNNNNNNNNNNNNNNNNAAAAAAAAUGUCCAAGUCCUGACCCCGGAGACCUGGGAAUGUGACCUUAUUGGAAAACAGGGUCUUUGCAGAUCUAAUUAAUUUGUAUCCUUAAAGAGGCAAAAGAGGCAGAUUUGAGACGCACAGAUGCUGACUCUUCCAGGGACCAUGUGAGCGCAGAAGCAGGUGUUGGAGUGAUACAGCAUAAGCCAGGAAACACCAGGAGNNNNNNNNNNNNNNNNNNNNNNNNNNNNNNNNNNNNNNNNNNNNNNNNNNNNNNNNNNNNNNNNNNNNNNNNNNNNNNNNNNNNNNNCUCUGUCCCUGGGAUUCUCCAGGCAAGAAUACUGGAGUGGGUUGCCAUGCGCUUCUCAAGGGGAUCUUCCCAACCCAGGGAUCGAACCUGGGUGUCCUGCAUUGCAGACAGAUUCUUUACCAUCUGAGCCCACCAGGGUGAAGCUGGAAGAAGCAGCAAAAGUUCGAGGAUUAAUCUUAUUUAUGUCAGCUUGACUGGGCCACAGCUCUGUGUUCCAACACAAUUCUAAGUAUUUCCCUAAGGAUGUCUUUGGAUGAAAGUAACAUGUAAAUUUGUGGACUGAGUAUGCAGAUUGCCUUCUGUAGUGUGGGUAGGCCUCAUCUAAUCUGUCAAAGGCCUGAAUAGAACAAAAAGGCCAACCUCUUCUGAGUAAGAGAGAGUUCUUCCUGCUCAGUGGCCUUGGAACUAGGACAACAAGUUUUCCAGGGAACCUGGAGGAAGUGAUUUGGUGCCUGUGGUGACCAGACCAUAGGAGGUUGGUAGCUUCCAUUUCCUGUCCUGGGACAGUCACUCCUGGACCCCAGAAUUUCCCUGUAAGACUUCUGACCACAGGGAGACCCUCAGGGUCUGGGAAGCCCCAUGGAAAGGCUGCAUGGAGAGAAAGAUGUCCGCCCAGCCCCCAAAACUCCAGCCACACCAGCCCAGGACCAAGAAGCAGNNNNNNNNNNNNNNNNNNNNNNNNNNNNNNNGAUUGCAGCUAUGUGAGACCCUAGGCAAGAAGCGCCUGCUGAGCCCAACUGCUGGGAGCCAGGAGCCCUCAUAACAAAUUGUUUUAAGCUGUUAACCUUGGGGCUGAUUUUGUAACCAAGCAGGGGCCCUCCGGGGAGAGGCCUUCCCCUUUAUCCUCUGCUUUAGCUCCUCUCUGAAGUACCUGUUGAAUAGAUAACAAUAUCUGAUGCGCAUUUUCAGAGUUGUUUUGCAGACAUGAAAACCCCCCACCAAACGGUUACAAAGAUGUAACUACCUGAUGACCAUGAGCACGCAGCCCUAGGCUUCCUGGAGCCUAAGGACUGAUAAUGUUAACUUCUGUGAUACUACCCUAAUUACCUCACCACCAGCCAAUCAGAGAAUUGUGCACAAGCUUACCACAGACCCUGCAACCUGCCUCCUGGCUUUGAGAAAUGCUUUGCCAAAAACCCUUCAGAGAAUCUGGGGCUUUUUAAGGCCCAAGCCACCUGUCUCUUUGCUUGGCUCCGCCAUAAACCUUUCUCUGCUUUAAACUCCAACGUUUCAGUAGGUUUGGCCUCAGCACACAUCGGGCACAGGAAUUUGUGUGAACAAUUUGCUCCACGGCGAUAGCUAGAGCAAAUAAGUGGCUUGGUGAGAACAUGAAGUCUUCCCCACUGGGGAGACGCUUAGGGCAGGGAAAACGCCACAGGGACACUUGGCUCGUGGAUGGCCUCUCUGAUGGAUACCCCGUCCUCUGCUGGAGCAAAUCCAGGCCAGGGUGACUUUGUGCAGUGCACGUACUGUGGCACUGUACAUGGCAGCCCCGAGUGGAGGCCUCACCACCCGCAGAAGGAAGUGGGAAGCGUCUCCACUAGUGUCCCCACCACUCCUCCGCUGUGUCCAUCACUCACUCAUCACAGGGCCCCUCCCUCAUCCUGGCCUGUUUUGGCCGCCAGGCAGCUUAGCCAAACAUGGAGCCAGGGGAAGGUGCCAGCAGAGGCAAGCCUGGGUGCCAGGAGAGGGCAGAGGAGGUGUAGGGAAGGUGCCAGCAAGGCCCUGGGGCCUGUGGGCCAGGACUUGACCUCUCCUCUCGGGCACAGGUCUGCAGUCUCUGCUUGUCCCGGCCUUGUCUAGCCCAAGGUGAGUCCUUUUGAAGUCUGUUGCUGGGGACUAUUAACAGGAGCCCGAUCCAGAACCCAGCAGGACUCGUCCACCCUGCACCCUCUCCUGCGGGGGAGUGUGCCUCCUGCGGCCCUCUUCCUGGCCUCCCUGGCCCCUGGUGUCGCAAUCCAGUCUGCUGUCUGGGCCUGAGAAUAUGGGUGCUGGCGCCUCUCUCUGCCCCUCCAGACCCCGCUCCCACUCCCCCACCCUCUGCAGACAUCCCAGGGUUCCCUUGCCUUGGGCGGUCCUGGCUCCUGCCCUUGCUGGCCCUCAUCUUGGAGGGUGACCCCUAGGCCGCCCUCCAUGGGCACUGCCUGCUCUAGCAAGCCCCUGCCUGUGGGGAACUGAAGGGAGAACAGCAGCUUCAAGCACAGGUGAGAAAAGCCUCGUCCCCACUCUGGCUCCAGAAAAGCCCCAAGAGAUGUGGAGUAAGGGGCCUCCACCAGGAGUUGUCCUCUGUAUUCCACAUCCUUGGGCCUGAUGGGGGUUGCAGGGCAAAAAGAGAAACCUGCCCCCUCGUCCCUCCUCACUGGACGCCGACGCCUCAUGGUUCACAUUGGGGCCCCCCAUGGCCUUGCUGGCCUCAUCCGCCUGCCUGCUCCGGCGAUGGGGACCUGGGGCAGGUGACCCGGCCUCCCCAGAGUCUCACAUCCUCCCGUGUAGUGACGACAGCAGAGUGUAACGAAUGCCCACCGCUCGGAGACAGAGGCUGUCCCCUGACCAGACCCUAGGCAGGUUCCUCCGAGCACAUUUUCAACAAGGCCUCAUCCUUGGGCAUGCGCUCAGGGGCUGAUUACAGCAAGAAGUCUGCUUAAUCAGCUCAGCCAGCUUCCCCCACCUUGGUAUCUGACCCCCUCAAUAUACAACCCAACCAAGUCCUCCUCCCUCCCCUUCCCAGAGGAGGUCUCUGACCCCCUGGGCUGCCUCUGCCCAUUGGCCAGAGUCUCCUCCCCUCCCCCUUGUCCCCUCCCAUGACUUUUCCACCCAGUGACCCCACCUGGCCCUCAGUUGUGACCCUCCCUUCCUGAUGCUAUUUUCCAGGCUUAGCCCAUUCCCUUUCCCUCCUGCAAAUCCCUCCCUACACCCACUGUCUGGAGGGGCACCCCCCACAACCUUAGCACAUGUGAUGAGUCAUGCUUUCCUUGACGACCGCCCGUGGUUCACUUUGGAGGGAAGGAAGGGAGUCAGGGUCCCUGGCUCCUCGAGCUGGAGGCAGCACCCUCUCUCCCCACCUUCCUGGGAAACUCUGACUACUGAGAGGGAGACUUCUGUGCUCGGGACACCAGAAUAGCUCCUGGGAGCCCCUCGGUAGACCUCCAAGAGGACCCAUAUGAGCUCACCUGGCCCAGGAAUAUGUAUUCACGUCGGGUGGUGGUGGGGAGUAGUUUCCACUCCUGGGGAGCCCCUUCCCUGCAGCCCGACCUCGAGGAGGGCGGCAGAGCCCAGGCCGAGGGCAGCCAGCCUCCAAAGUGGCCACAGCAGAGAAGCCCGAGGGCUGGGGCGAUGUGGGUGUGGCACUGGACGCCAGAGCUGCAGGACCAGAUCAGGCAGGACUGGACAGGAGGGCCGCUGGGCAGAGCAGGGGAGGAGAGCUAGGGGUGUCCUGGCAGGCACCCUCAGGAUGCAGGGCGACGGCAGGUGGCAGUUUUGACUAUCAACACCUGUUGGGGGCAGUGCUGUGGUACCUGGGAGGUGGAGACCGCAUGCUACUCGACAGCCUACAGUGCACAGGAUGCC